rnacentral:rRNA from 1 species
CGUCUGGUAAUUGGAAUGAGUACAAUUUAAUUCCCUUAACGAGGAUCAAUUGGAGGGCAAGUCUGGUGCCAGCAGCCGCGGUAAUUCCAGCUCCAAUAGCGUAUAUUAAAAUUGUUGCAGUUAAAAAGCUCGUAGUUGGAUUUCUGGUACGGCGCACUUGGCCCGCUUCGGUUACGAGGUCGAGUGCCGGUGUGCGCCUGCCAUCCUUCUAGAGUACGUCUCUCCCUUCAGUGGGUUGGGCCGGAAUCUAGAUCAUUUACUUUGAAAAAAUUAGAGUGUUUAAAGCAGGCUUACGCUGUGAAUACAUUAGCAUGGAAUAAUAAUUUAGGACUUUGGUCUUAUUUUGUUGGUUUCUAGGACUAAAGUAAUGAUUGAUAGGGACAGUUGGGGGUGCUAGUAUUCAGCGGCCAGAGGUGAAAUUCUUGGAUUCGCUGAAGACUAACUUAUGCGAAAGCAUUCACCAAGGAUGUCUUCUUUAAUCAAGAACGAAAGUUGGGGGAUCGAAGACGAUCAGAUACCGUCGUAGUCUCAACCAUAAACUAUGCCGACUAGGGAUGAGUGAACGUUGCUUAUUCGACUUCAUUCGCACCUUAUGAGAAAUUAAAGUCUUUGGGUUCCGGGGGGAGUAUGGUCGCAAGGCUGAAACUUAAAGGAAUUGACGGAAGGGCACACCAGGAGUGGAGCCUGCGGCUUAAUUUGACCCAACACGGGAAAACUUACCAGGUCCAGACAUAAUAAGGAUUGACAGAUUGAAGAUCUUUCUUGAUUUUAUGGGUGGUGGUGCAUGGCCGUUCUUAGUUGGUGGAGUGAUUUGUCUGGUUAAUUCCGUUAACGAACGAGACCUCGACCUGCUAAACAGUUUGGUGAAUUCUCCGGGAUUCAUUUACGACUUCUUAGAGGGACUAUCGGUGAUUUAGCCGAUGGAAGUUCGAGGCAAUAACAGGUCUGUGAUGCCCUUAGAUGUCCUGGGCCGCACGCGCGCUACACUGAUACGUUCAUCGAGCUUACAACCUUGUCUGAGAGGACUGGGUAAUCUUUUUAAACCGUAUCGUGCUGGGGAUAGAUUAUUGUAAUUUUUAAUCUUCAACGAGGAAUUCCUAGUAAACGCUGGUCAUCAACCAGCAUUGAUUACGUCCCUGCCCUUUGUACACACCGCCCGUCGCUACUACCGAUUGAAUGGCUUAGUGAGUUUCAGGGAUUGUUGUAUUGUCGAGGUUCGCCUUUCCAGUACAUCCGAGAACUGAAUCAAACUUGAUCAUUUAGAGGAAGUAAAAGUCGUA